rnacentral:tRNA from 1 species
CCUUCGAUAGCUCAGUUGGUAGAGCGGUGGACUGUAGUUUGUAGUGGGAAAAUUUAAGUGAAUCAUGACACGAUCCCUCGAGUGCAUAGACUCACACACCUCCCGAAACAAUAGAAAUCCAUAGGUCACUGGUUCAAAUCCGGUUCGAAGGA